AGCAGGUAGGCGUGGUUCACCCAGUACCCGGAAGUAGUAGAGAAGUACCGGGGAGCGGAGGUGAAGAGCGCUUCUCGGGUAAUAAAGACUCUGUCCCUUUAAUAGGGUGUAAGGUGUGCCCGGCUGCAUGCAUUGUGUGGGGCUGUCCGCAGCCUGUGUGUGUUGUUACUGGGUAUGAGGAGCACUGAGCACACUGACAGCCAGGGGAGUCCAUGUUUACAGACCUGACCAUGUGUGUUCUGUGUGUAAAUAUAGCCCACUGUGUGCACUUGGUCAUACUCACUUACUGAGCACGUCAUGCAUUCAGUGUCUCAAUAGAAUGCCUGAAAACAUAAAAGAUGCAUUGCUGUUUGUUUAAUGAAAACUUGUUGUUUUUUUUGUUUCUAACUUUUGAACAUACAAGGAAGUGUGGGUUAAAGUAUUUAUUUAUUAAAGGUCCACUAUAGUGCCAGGAAAACAAACUCGUUUUCCUGGCACUAUAGUGUUAAUAGGUCCCCCACCCUCAGUGUCCCACUCCCGCUGGGCUGGAUGGGGAGGAAGGGGUUAAACACUUACCUUUCACCAGCGCCGGGCAAGAGCUGCGCACGCUUUCAAACCGCCCAUAGGAAAGCAUUUCUCAAUGCUUUCCUAUGGACGUCAGUAUCUUCUCACUGUGAUUUUCACAGUGAGAACCGCAGAAGCGCCUCAGUGAGACAGCCACUAGAGGCUGGAUUAACCGUAGUGUAAACAUGUUUACAGCUGCAGGGUUAAUCCUAGAGGGACCUUGCACCCAGACCACUUCAUUAAGCUGAAGUGGUCUGGGUGCCUAUAGUGGUCCUUUCAAUUAUAUAAAAUAUUUUACCAGGAAUGUUUCUCUCGUUUUCAAGUAUGCCCUGGGUGCACAUACAUUGCAUGUUACAGUAAAGUACAAUAUUAUACUAAAAAUACAAAUACGUAUAAUUUAAUACAGAACAGGUAAAUGUAGUAAAAAUGUCCAUAAUAAAUAUAUAUCCAUAUAUAGAGGCGGUGGAAACCUAGACAUCGCCACAUGUUAUAAAACUGGGAAUUGUAUUUAUACAGUACCUGGAGAUUACCUUAUGCUAAUACAUGACUCCUAAGUGCUUCACUGCCAGUGUUUUUGAUUCAAUACAGAAAUCAAGUUAAUAAAGACUUACUGCUUUGAAAUAAUAUGGGACGAAUAAAAUGCUUUACUUAACAUUUGUCAAAUUUUUAUUUUUUUUAUUGGGGAGGGCAGCAAGAUGGCGUUAAUAAGAAUAAAUUAAAAUGGGGAAAUACACUGGGAGGGGGAAAAAAUGUGUUAUAAGGCUAUGUACACCUUAAAGUGGUGUUUCAACAUUUUCCAAAUCAAGUAAUUAUAGUUAUUUACAGUUACAGGGACACUGUAGUCACCCAGACCACGUCAUGUAUGUGGCCCUCUCAUUUUAACCCUGUAGUGCAAAGCAUUGCAUUUUUUUCUCUUUUCUCAAAGAAAUUGCAAUGUUUACAUUGCAGGGUUAAACCAACCUCUAGUGGCUCUUAGUAUGUCAUCUGCUAGAGGUGCUUCAGCUGUACUGAAAGAGUGAAACUCGGUCACGAAGUCCCUGUAGGAAAGCAUUGAUUCAAUUCAAAAAUUUAAAGUGGGAGAGACAACAAUAACAAAAAGCAUGUUCAAAAGGUUUCCAGUUAUGCUAUUUAGUGAUGAUAUCAAGUAACUAGCCAAGAAGUUAGCGAAAAUAACUUCAGUGUUCAAUAAUAUGCACAAAAGAAUAUAAGCAGAAUUGUCUUAUAAAGGGGUAGCCUAAAAAACAUCGUAGCAUGCAUUAGUGGUUAUGGUGCCAGUAGUGUCCUGGCUCUGUCCAUAUAAGUAGUCAAAUCAUUUGCUAACGUUUAUCAACUUAACUGGGGUCUACCAUUAAGAGUUGGAGGCUCCAUGCUGGGACCUUCCAUUUGUUCUUCUCAGGUAAACCCUGUGUACAGGACUUGCUCAUUACUCACAGCCAAUGAGCUAAGCCCUGCACUGCUGGGCUUAGCUCAAUGCAGAAAGAUUCUGUCUGCCAUGGAGGAGGUGACAUGCAGACCCCAGAUAAGUUGUUAUAUCCUUAGCAAACUCGUUGUCUACUUACACUGGAGGGGUGACAGGGCACUUCUGGCACCAUAACCAUUACGGUGUGUUGUAGUGGUUAUGGUGCUUGGAGUGUUCGUUUUAUAUGUACUCUCUGCCCUGGUACUUGAAAGGCUAGUUUUACUCUAGUUUUACUCACAUGUCUGUGAGAAGGGGAUUGGAGUCCCAGCUCCACAAACAAACAUAAAAAUUGGAACCAACACGUAUAUUAGAUGUUAACUCAACUAGUCCUCCACAUUAGUGAUAUAUUUUGAGCUUUGUUAUUAAGGAUCAAAGUUGUGAACCCUCCCGUACCAUCGGUUUAACUGUAACUUGAUGUUUGUGCUUUAUAGACAUCACAUAGAAGCACUAUAAGCAGGCAUAUCUUGUACAUUCAUGUUUCAAAACACUCCUUAUUCAGUUCUUCAAGUAACAUAACCAAUACAUCACCCUGUAAUGGUCAUGGUACCAGGAAUGCCCUAGGGCUGUUUCACAAUAAACAGUCAAAUAGCUAUAGAAUUAUUUGACAACUUACUUGGGUUUAUCCUGCAGGAGAACCUAAUGUUUCUAUAGAGCUAUGCCGAUCCAGGGCCGUGUUUAUUGGUAGGGAAUGCGGUCCUGCAUGGCCCUGCUUAGCAUAAGGGAGCCUACUGGAAGUGAGCAGACUGGAUGCAGUGUAUGCAGCCAGUGGGACACAGUUAAAAAUUUUUGACUACUUACCUUGGGCGCUCCUGCCACCAUAUCUACUACAUUGGGCUGGUUAUUGUCCCUGGGGUGUCCUUUUAACCAAGGUUUUGUAAACUUUUCACAACUCUGGGUCUUUUAGAUUAGAGGCUCCAAAAGAAAAACACAAUUGUAAGUAUAUAUCUGAAGUUUGCACGUUUCAUUAGCAUUGAUAGCUGCAAUAUGUUGCUUUUAUGUUUUUUUUUUGUAAUUAUUUUGGUCAAGUGUAAAAUCUAUUUAGAACCAGCAAAUGUAUUUUCAGCAUAUUUUCAUUUUUUGAUUUUAGGUUAUAAUUUUGUGUCAACCACUUUAAGUGAAACAGAAUCUUUAUGAGGUAUCCUAUCUGCUGGAAGAAUGACAGAUGACAAAGAUGUCCUUCGAGAUGUUUGGUUUGGGAGAAUACCGACUUGCUUUACAUUAUACCAGGAUGAACUAACAGAGCGAGAAGCUGAACCCUAUUAU